AGAUUUUAAGGGUCUCCUCGGCUACAUCCGAUAAACAGAGAAGAUUAACAUGGCCCCUGUGCAAGGAUGACAUGCACAAAUCGAGAAAUGGUCCAAAUUUUG